rnacentral:rRNA from 1 species
UACUGCUGCCGGAUCAUUAACGA